CACACCCAUACAGGGAUGAGAGAAUUGAGAGUGAGGGAGGCGGGCAAGACUAUAGAUCACUCAGUUGACGCGCUCCAGACAGACAGAGCAAGCCACAACAAAAUAUGAAGGAAAACUAACAAACUUGAACUUGAUGUAAGAUGGAAAAAAAUAGGGGACGCUUAAAGCCACUCUUCAGUUGAGCCACAGUGGUCCCAGCAACACCCUCAGUCAACAGUCAAGCCGGCCUGAAACCACAAGUCUGUUUGCAGGAUUGGUCAACCGGGCUGCGAGGAUGAGAGCAAAGAUUCCUGAACAUUAUCGAAAAGGCCCGAGAUGGGGGACAAGAGUCAUAUGACGUGACUCGAGGAGCUAUUUUUAUCACUGG